GAUGAACGCUGGCGGCGUGCCUAAUACAUGCCAGUCGAGCGAACAGACGAGGAGCUUGCUCCUCUGACGUUAGCGGCGGACGGGUGAGUAACACGUGGAUAACCUACCUAUAAGACUGGGAUAACUUCGGGAAACCGGAGCUAAUACCGGAUAAUAUAUUGAACCGUAUGGUUCAAUAGUGAAAGACGGUUUUGCUGUCACUUAUAGAUGUAUCCGCGCCGCAUUAGCUAGUUGGUAAGGUAACGGCUUACCAAGGCAACGAUGCGUAGCCGACCUGAGAGGGUGAUCGGCAACACUGGAACGGAGACACGGUCAAGACUCCUACGGGAGGCAGCAGUAGGGAAUCUUCCGCAAUGGGCGAAAUCCUGACGGAGCAACGCCGCGUGAGUGAUGAAGGUCUUCGGAUCGUAAAACUCUGUUAUUAGGGAAGAACAAAUGUGUAAGUAACUAUGCACGUCUUGACGGUACCUAAUCAGAAAGCCACGGCUAACUACGUG
rnacentral:rRNA from 1 species